UUUUAGCCCUGAUAGAAGCGGCAUCCCACACUGACAUUGCGAGGGACGAAGCAAUCAGAGUGGAUAUAGCAUAUAGCAGGAAUAGCU
rnacentral:sRNA from 1 species